ACACAAUCCAAAAAGAAAAAGGUCAUUGUUGAGGAUUCAUCUCCUGAGCAAGCUCAAUCCUAUCAUGGGUACAGUACUUUGGAGAAGGAAGCUGACCUGCGAUCGACGGAAGGUCACUAUGUCUCAUCUGAAAUAAUACCGGACGUAAACUUAGGAAGUGAUGAUCCUUCAUCUCAAGGACACACAGACCAAAGUAGCGUAAACAAACCGGCAGAGAGCAUGUAAUUUCUCUUUCAAAUAAC